AUUGAACGCUGGCGGCAUGCUUUACACAUGCCAGUCGAACGGCAGCGCGGGCUUCGGCCUGGCGGCGAGUGGCGAACGGGUGAGUAAUGCAUCGGAACGUGCCCAGUAGUGGGGGAUAGCCCGGCGAAAGCCGGCUUAAUACCGCAUACGACCUGAGGGUGAAAGCGGGGGACCGAAAGGCCUCGCGCGAUUGGAGCGGCCGAUGUCGGAUUAGCUAGUUGGUGGGGUAAAGGCUUACCAAGGCGACGAUCCGUAGCUGGUCUGAGAGGACGACCAGCCACACUGGGACUGAGACACGGCCCAGACUCCUACGGGAGGCAGCAGUGGGGAAUUUUGGACAAUGGGGGCAACCCUGAUCCAGCCAUGCCGCGUGCGGGAAGAAGGCCUUCGGGUUGUAAACCGCUUUUGUUCGGGAAGAAAUCCUCUGGGCUAAUACCCCGGGGGGAUGACGGUACCGGAAGAAUAAGCACCGGCUAACUACGUG
rnacentral:rRNA from 1 species